UACGGAGGGGGCAAGCGUUGUUCGGAAUUACUGGGCGUAAAGGGCGCGCAGGCGGCUGCUCAAGUCAGGCGUGAAAGGCCUGGGCUCAACCCGGGAAUUGCGCUUGAGACUGGGCUGGCUUGAGUGCGGGAGAGGAUGGUGGAAUUCCUAGUGUAGAGGUGAAAUUCGUAGAUAUUAGGAGGAAUACCGGCGGCGAAGGCGGCCUUCUGGACCGUUCUUGACGCUGAGACGCGAAAGCGUGGGGAGCAAACAGG
rnacentral:rRNA from 1 species